rnacentral:rRNA from 1 species
GAGUUUGAUCCUGGCUCAGGAUGAACGCUGGCGGUAUGCCUAACACAUGCAAGUCGUACGAGGGUUUUUAACUCUAGUGGCGGACGGGUGAGUAACACGUGAGAAUUUGCCUUUAGGAGGGGGAUAACAAUCGGAAACGAAUGCUAAUACCCCAUAUGCUUUUGAGUGAAACGGAUUUAUCCGCCUAAAGAGAAGCUCGCGGCUGAUUAGCUUGUUGGUAAGGUAAGAGCUUACCAAGGCGACGAUCAGUAUCUGGUUUGAGAGGACGAUCAGACACACUGGAACUGAGACACGGUCCAGACUCCUACGGGAGGCAGCAGUGGGGAAUUUUCCGCAAUGGGCGAAAGCCUGACGGAGCAAUACCGCGUGAGGGAAGACUGCCUAUGGGUUGUAAACCUCUUUUUUCAGGGAGGAAUAAAAUGACGUGUACCUGAAGAAUAAGCAUCGGCUAACUCCGUGCCAGCAGCCGCGGUAAGACGGAGGAUGCAAGUGUUAUCCGGAAUCACUGGGCGUAAAGCGUCUGUAGGUGGUUUAAUAAGCCAACUGUUAAAUCUUGAGGCUCAACUUCAAAAUCGCAGUCGAAACUAUUAGACUAGAGUAUAGUAGGGGUAAAGGGAAUUUCCAGUGGAGCGGUGAAAUGCGUAGAUAUUGGAAAGAACACCGAUGGCGAAAGCACUUUACUGGGCUAUUACUAACACUCAGAGACGAAAGCUAGGGUAGCAAAUGGGAU